rnacentral:rRNA from 1 species
GAGUCUAGCAUGUGCGCGAGUCAUUGGGAUUGACUAAACCUAAAGGCGCAAUGAAAGUGAAGGCCCGCCUUGCGCGGGCCGAGGGAGGAUGGGCCGCGUCACGAUGCGGCCCCGCACUCCCGGGGCGUCUCGUUCUCAUCGCGAGAAGAGGCGCACCCAGAGCGUACACGCUGGGACCCGAAAGAUGGUGAACUAUGCCUGGUCAGGACGAAGUCAGGGGAAACCCUGAUGGAGGUCCGUAGCGAUUCUGACGUGCAAAUCGAUCGUCGGAACUGGGUAUAGGGGCGAAAGACUAAUCGAACCAUCUAGUAGCUGGUUCCCUCCGAAGUUUCCCUCAGGAUAGCUGGCGCUCGCUUUGCGAGUCUCAUCCGGUAAAGCGAAUGAUUAGAGGCAUUGGGGUCGAAACGGCCUCAACCUAUUCUCAAACUUUAAAUGGGUGAGAUCUCCGGCUUGCUCGAACGUGAAGCCGCGAGAAUUAGUAAGGAUCAGAGUGCCAAGUGGGCCACUUUUGGUAAGCAGAACUGGCGCUGUGGGAUGAACCAAACGCAGAGUUAAAGCGCCUAAAUCGACGCUUAUGGGAUACCAUGAAAGGCGUUGGUAACUUAAGACAGCAGGACGGUGGCCAUGGAAGUCGGA